GGUGGUUCUCUGGUGAGGCACCCCAGAAUCCGACUUGUUCCUCUCUGGUUCCCUGGUGCGUCACCAGAGAACCACA
rfam:Myotis brandtii contig227040, whole genome shotgun sequence.